AAUUCUCAAGCCUGGCUUGGUGUUGGGCGACGUCCUCUUUGGGGACGCGCCUCAAAACGCUCGGCGGCGUGGCACCGGCUUUUAAGCGUAGCAGAAUCUUAUCUUUCGCUUUGAAAGUCGGGGCCAUAUCUGCCGGAAGACCUACUCGCAA
rnacentral:misc_RNA from 1 species